UACGGAGGGUGCAAGCGUUAUCCGGAUUCACUGGGGUUAAAGGGUGCGUAGGCGGCCCUGUAAGUCCGUUGUGGAAGUCAAAGGCUCAACCUUUGAAAGCCGAUGGAUACUGCAGGGCUAGAGUCCGGAAGAGGCGAGUGGAAUUCCUGGUGUAGCGGUGGAAUGCGCAGAUAUCAGGAGGAACACCAAUAGCGAAGGCAGCUCGCUGGGACGGUACUGACGCUAAGGCGCGAAAGCGUGGGGAGCGAACAGG
rnacentral:rRNA from 1 species